UGCAAGUCGAGGGGCAGCAUAAUGGUAGUAAUACUAUUGAUGGCGACCGGCGGACGGGUGCGUAACGCGUAUCCAACCUGCCGAUGACUCGGGGAUAGCCUUUCGAAAGAAAGAUUAAUACCCGAUGGCAUAAUUCUUCCGCAUGGUAGAAUUAUUAAAGAAUUUCGGUUAUCGAUGGGGAUGCGUUCCAUUAGUUUGUUGGCGGGGUAACGGCCCACCAAGACUACGAUGGAUAGGGGUUCUGAGAGGAAGGUCCCCACAUUGGAACUGAGACACGGUCCAAACUCC
rnacentral:rRNA from 1 species